rnacentral:other from 3 species
CGUUCUCUGGGUUGUUUGUGUGCUUGUUGACGUCCCUGAGCCGAUAAUUGUUUUACCUAGGGAUGCUUUUGCGUUGCUUUUGUGCAGGCCCGGCUUGUACUGGGAAGCCUACGGUGACCAUUGGCCUUCCGCCUUGAACCUUGGGUUCAAGGGCUUAAAUAAGUUACGGCAACUUGGAGAACAC